rnacentral:rRNA from 1 species
GAUGAACGCUGGCGGCGUGCCUAAUACAUGCAAGUCGAGCGAAUGGAUUAAGAGCUUGCUCUUAUGAAGUUAGCGGCGGACGGGUGAGUAACACGUGGGUAACCUGCCCAUAAGACUGGGAUAACUCCGGGAAACCGGGGCUAAUACCGGAUAACAUUUUGAACCGCAUGGUUCGAAAUUGAAAGGCGGCUUCGGCUGUCACUUAUGGAUGGACCCGCGUCGCAUUAGCUAGUUGGUGAGGUAACGGCUCACCAAGGCAACGAUGCGUAGCCGACCUGAGAGGGUGAUCGGCCACACUGGGACUGAGACACGGCCCAGACUCCUACGGGAGGCAGCAGUAGGGAAUCUUCCGCAAUGGACGAAAGUCUGACGGAGCAACGCCGCGUGAGUGAUGAAGGCUUCCGGGUCGUAGAACUCUGUUGUUAGGGAAGAACAAGUGCUAGUUGAAUAAGCUGGCACCUUGACGGUACCUAACCAGAAAGCCACGGCUAACUACGUGCCAGCCGCCGCGGUAA